rnacentral:rRNA from 1 species
CACGUAGUUAGCCGGGGCUUUCUUCUCAGGUACCGUCACUCCGGGUGCAGUUACUCACCCGGACAUUCUUCCCUGGCAACAGAGCUUUACGAUCCGAAAGCCUUCAUCACUCACGCGGCAUUGCUCCAUCAGGCUUUCGCCCAUUGUGGAAGAUUCCCUACUGCUGCCUCCCGUAGGAGUCUGGGCCGUGUCUCAGUCCCAGUGUGGCCGUUCACCCUCUCAGGUCGGCUACGCAUCGUCGCCUUGGUGAGCCGUUACCCCACCAACUAGCUAAUGCGCCGCAGGCCCAUCUCUCAGUGACAGCUUGCGCCGUCUUUCCUCAUCUCUCCAUGCGGAGAAACGAUGUAUCCGGUAUUGCUAUUCCGUUCCGGAAGUUACUCCCGAGACGUAGAAAGGCGAGGUUGCCUACGUUGUUACUCC